AUGAACGCUGGCGGCGUGCCUAAUACAUGCAAGUCGCGCGAACAGACGAGGAGCUUGCUCCUUCGACGUUAGCGGCGGACGGGUGAGUAACACGUAGGUAACCUACCUAUAAGACUGGGAUAAGUUCGGGAAACCGGAGCUAAUACCGGAUAAUAUUUCGAACCGCAUGGUUCGAUAGUGAAAGAUGGCUUUGCUAUCACUUAUAGAUGGACCUGCGCCGUAUUAGCUAGUUGGUAAGGUAACGGCUUACCAAGGCAACGAUACGUAGCCGACCUGAGAGGGUGAUCGGCCACACUGGAACUGAGACACGGUCCAGACUCCUACGGGAGGCAGCAGUAGGGAAUCUUCCGCAAUGGGCGAAAGCCUGACGGAGCAACGCCGCGUGAGUGAUGAAGGUCUUCGGAUCGUAAAACUCUGUUAUUAGGGAAGAACAAACGUGUAAGUAACUGUGCACGUCUUGACGGUACCUAAUCAGAAAGCCACGGCUAACUACGUG
rnacentral:rRNA from 1 species